rnacentral:rRNA from 1 species
GACGAACGCUGGCGGCGUGCUUAACACAUGCAAGACGAACGGUAAGGCCCUUCGGGGUACACGAGUGGCGAACGGGUGAGUAACACGUGGGUGAUCUGCCCUGCACUUCGGGAUAACUCCGGGAAACCGGGGCUAAUACCGGAUAUGACCUCCUUGGGCAUCCUUGGAGGUGGAAAGUUUUUCGGUGAGGGAUGGGCCCGCGGCCUAUCAGCUUGUUGGUGAGGGAGUGGCUCACCAAGGCGACGACGGGUAGCCGGCCUGAGAGGGCGACCGGCCACACUGGGACUGAGACACGGCCCAGACUGCUACGGGAGGCAGCAGUGGGGAAUAUUGCGAAAUGGGCGAAAGCCUGACGCAGCAACGCCGCGUGCGGGAUGACGGCCUUCGGGUUGUAAACCUCUUUCAAUAGGGACGAAGCGCAAGUGACGGUACCUAUAGAAGAAGGACCGGCCAACUACGUGCCAGCCGCCGCGGUAA